rnacentral:rRNA from 1 species
AUGGGCUCUUCUUCUUCUUCCUCGCAACACGCACGGCAGGUAGCCGCUUGGGUGCUACUACCGCUGCUAUGCUUUUCCAUGUUGUUAUCCAGAGCACACGGUGGAGGGUCUCGCAAGCUUUACAUAGCAUACCUAGGCGAUGUGAAGCAUGGGCACCCAGACGAGGUCGUCGCGUCGCACCAUGACAUGCUCACCACUCUUCUCCAAAGCAAGGAGGAUUCUUCGGCCUCCAUGGUCUACAACUACAAGCAUGGUUUCUCAGGCUUUGCCGCCAUGCUCACCGUAGACCAAGCAACAAGGCUUGCAGAGUUUCCGGGAGUCAUCAGUGUUGAACCGAGCAAAACGUACAAGACCACCACCACGAGGAGCUGGGACUUUCUUGGGCUCAACUACCCGUCGUCCCAUACACCGGCCAGUGAGCUACUACAGGCAAGCAACUACGGAGAGAAUAUAAUCAUCGGCAUGGUUGACACAGGGGUCUGGCCGGAGUCGAGAAGCUUCAGCGACCAAGGGUACGGGCCGGUGCCAUCAAGGUGGAAAGGAAAAUGCCAGGUUGGGCCAGACUGGGGAAGCAACAACUGCAGCCGGAAGGUCAUAGGCGCACAGUUCUACACCGUCGGGGUCCCUGAAGAGUACUUCAAAGGAGACUCGCUCUCGCCCCGGGACCACAACAACCACGGCACACACACGGCCUCCAUCGCGGCUGGCUCCGCCGUGGAGGAAGCAGCUGCCAGCUUCCAUGGCAUUGCCGCGGGGGUUGCACGGGGAGGCGCGCCACACGCUCGCCUUGCAGUGUACAAGUCUUGCUGGAGCGACGGUUCAUGCUUCGAGACGGCCGUGCUAGCCGCCAUCGACGACGCCAUCCACGAUGGGGUGGACGUUCUGUCCUUGUCCCUCGAAAUGAGUGAGAACUCAUUCGCUGCACUGCAUGCGGUCAAGAAGGGGAUCGUCGUGGUGCACACCGCCGGUAACAAAGGGUAUCUGAUGCAGACCAUCAAGGACACCUCACCGUGGGUCAUCACCGUCGCAGCGACCAGCAACGAUCGCUCGUUCCCGACGGUGAUCACGUUGGGAAACAAGCAACAAAUAGUCGGACAGUCUCUCUAUUACCAAGUGAAGAACAGCUCAUCAUACAGGGGCGAUUUCACCAAUCUUAUAUGUAUGCCAUCUUGUACUGCAGAGGAUCUUAACGGCACCGACAUGAAAGGGGUCAUCCUGUUCUGCAAUGACAAAGGGGCCACUUUCCUCCAGGCGGCGCAAUACAUCGUCGACAAUGGAGGAUCUGGACUCAUUGUCUCGCCAACCAUUGUGGAUGACCUGUUUAACAUUGCAGAAGCUUGCCAAGGCAUCGCCUGCGUAGUUGUCGACAUCGCCGAUGCGGACAAGAUAUGCCAAUACUACGACGACUCAAGCUCUCCUCUUGCAAAGAUUGAACCUGCGUGCACCGUUACGGGCAAUGAGAUACUAGCCCCAAAAGUGGCGAGCUUCUCCUCCAGAGGCCCAUCGGUUACUUACCCGGCCAUUCUCAAGCCUGACAUAGCUGCACCUGGAGUCAACAUCUUGGCAGCAAAAAAAGAUUCCUACGCAGUUUUGUCAGGGACGUCCCAGGCAGCCCCUCAUGUAGCAGGCAUCGUCGCCCUGCUGAAAGUCCUGCACCUAGACUGGUCUCCCGCGGCACUAAAAUCAGCCAUCGUCACCACUGCCCAUGUAACCGAUGAACGCGGCAUGCCAAUAUUGGCGCAAGGGUCAUCGCUGAAGAUCGCUGACCCGUUCGACUACGGAGGAGGGAACAUAAAUCCUUAUGGGGCGGCUCAUCCCGGCCUCAUCUAUGACAUCGAUCCAAGCGACUACAGCAAGUUCUUCAAAUGUGCCAUCGGCACCAAGAGGACGCCUGUGACGUGCAACACCACCACCACGCUACCGGCGUAUUACAUCAACCUACCAUCCAUCUCGGUUCCCGAUCUCAGGCAUCCCAUCACGGUGUACAGGACGGUGACCAACGUCGGCGAGGUCAAUUCUGUGUACCAUGCCGCAGUGCAGAGCCCGAUGGGUGUCAAGAUGAAGGUCUUCCCGCCUGUUCUUAUAUUCGACGCUGCCAACAAAGUGCAGACAUAUCAGGUGAAGCUGUCACCUAUGUGGAAGUUGCACGGGGACUACACAUUUGGUAGCCUUACUUGGCAUAAUGACCAAAAGGCGGUAAGGAUUCCAGUUGUGGCCCGGAUUACAAUUCAGGAAAUCUAG